rnacentral:rRNA from 1 species
AGCGAACGCUGGCGGCAGGCCUAACACAUGCAAGUCGAACGAACCCUUCGGGGUUAGUGGCGGACGGGUGAGUAACACGUGGGAACGUACCUUUAGGUUCGGAACAACACAGGGAAACUUGUGCUAAUGCCGAAUGUGCCCUUCGGGGGAAAGAUUUAUCGCCUUUAGAGCGGCCCGCGUCUGAUUAGCUUGUUGGUGAGGUAAAGGCUCACCAAGGCUUCGAUCAGUAGCUGGUCUGAGAGGAUGAUCAGCCACACUGGGACUGAGACACGGCCCAGACUCCUACGGGAGGCAGCAGUGGGGAAUCUUGCGCAAUGGGCGAAAGCCUGACGCAGCCAUGCCGCGUGAAUGAUGAAGGUCUUAGGAUUGUAAAAUUCUUUCACCGGGGAAGAUAAUGACGGUACCCGGAGAAGAAGCCCCGGCUAACUUCGUG